AAAAAUGCGAUGAAAAGAAGAGUAAUAAAAGGAGCAUUCUAUAAGAGAGCUAAGAAAUGCUGAAAGUUAGCGUUUGUGAAUUUUAUGAAGAUGGUCUUAGAGCAUGUUUUUUGAGCCGAGGUAUUUGGUUAGGAAAAUACGGGAGCAACCGUUAUAUUGCAAGGUGAUGAUGGUCACCUACUGAGUUAUUCGUUGUGAAAUGAGUAAGAAAUAGAGUGGUAACACGUAUAAUGCGUCUCUAUA
rnacentral:ncRNA from 1 species